GUGCUUGCUUUGGCAGCACUUGUACUAAAAUUGGAAUAAUACAGAGGAGAUUAGCCUUGCCCCUGUGCAUGUAUGACACACAAACUCAUGAAGCAUUCUAUAUUUUU